rnacentral:tRNA from 1 species
GCCCUCGUAGCUCAAUGGUAGAGCGCGUCACUAGUAGGCCCCGAUAUGACGAGGUUGCCGGUUCGAUUCCGUCCGGGGGCA